rnacentral:rRNA from 1 species
UACGUAGGCGGAAAAUUAAGUCAGUGGUGAAAUCCUGCAGCUUAACUGUAGAACUGUCAUUGAUACUGGUUUUCUUGAAUACAGUUGAGGUAGGCGGAAUGUGUAAUGUAGCGGUGAAAUGCUUAGACAUUACACAGAACACCGAUUGCGAAGGCAGCUUACUAAACUAUGAUUGACGCUGAGGUACGAAAGCGUGGGGAGCGAACAGGAUUAGAUACCCUGGUAGUCC